rnacentral:lncRNA from 1 species
AAUACAAUGACAUAGCUGUGGUUGAUGAACUAUAUUUUAUCUAUUGCAAUGAUAUUUUGAAAUGCAGUGCUACUCAUUGAGUUUCCUUGUGAGGAGAUUGUGUGGCGAGGACCCAGCAAGACAAGCUACUAUCCCAAAAAAGCUACUUAUAUGAACUUCAUUUCCGGUUUCUUUCAAAUUGAAGUUUCUCCAGCAUUUGGCUCUAGGUGCCAAGGGCACAUGUGACAAGAAGGUGCCAGCUUUAUAAACCUUGGAACUUCUUCUGUGUCAGUUCUGAGACAUACAGUUUACUAAAACACAUCAUGAAGGCCUGUUUUGAAGAGAAGGGGAAUAAGACUGCAUCUGUUCAUAUGAGAGUUGGAUUCUCACUCUGUUGUCCACGCUGGAGUUCAGUG